rnacentral:rRNA from 1 species
UUGGAGGGCAAGUCUGGUGCCAGCAGCCGCGGUAAUUCCAGCUCCAAUAGCGUAUAUUAAAGUUGUUGCAGUUAAAAAGCUCGUAGUUGAAUUUCGGGGUCAGUAGGUUGGUCGUGCCACUGGUAUGCACUGGUCUCACUGAUUCCUCCUUCCUGAUGAACCGUAAUGCCGUUAAUUUGGUGUUGCGGGGAAUCUGGACUGUUACUUUGAAAAAAUUAGAGUGUUUAAAGCAGGCUAACGCUUGAAUACAUUAGCAUGGAAUAAUGAAAUAGGACGAUCGAUCCUAUUUUGUUGGUUUCUAGGAUUGACGUAAUGAUUAAUAGGGAUAGUUGGGGGCAUUAGUAUUCAAUUGUCAGAGGUGAAAUUCUUGGAUUUAUUGAAGACUAACUACUGCGAAAGCAUUUGCCAAGGAUGUUUUCAUUAAUCAAGAACGAAAGUUAGGGGAUCGAAGACGAUCAGAUACCGUCGUAGUCUUAACCAUAAACUAUGCCGACUAGGGAUCGGAUGAUGUUAAUUUUUUAAUGACUCAUUCGGCGCCUUACGGGAAA